GAAGAAGAAGAAGAACCAGCGGCAACAAUGUCUCGACAGCCAAAAGACCUCAGAAGACGGAGACGGCGGCGGAAAUCCCGAAUGGAAUCACACCAUGCAAUUUGAUCUCAAAUCCAUCUCAUUUCCUGAUCAGGGCGAUCAUCUAUUUCUCAUCUUCAAAUUACGCUGCGCAGGUUUAAUCUUUCGCAACAGAUGUAUUGGGAAAGUUCGCGUUCCAUUCAAGGACUUGAUCGACGAGUUCAACGGCGCUGUUAGGUUUGUCAGUUACCAGGUUCGAACUAGUGAUGGGAAGCCUAAUGGGGUCUUGAAUUUUUCCUAUAAGGUGAAGGGUAAGGCUGGGAAGAACGGAGAUGAUUCCCCUGCUCCGAGAGUAGACUUUCCAUCUAGAACUAGAAUUCAUUUUUGUCCAGAGAAAGUCCACCACCCACCAUUGCAAGUGCAACUUACGUCGCGAGACAAGUGCCUGUAUCCGUCCCUGGAUGAAAUCCGCUCUCCCUUGCCAGGAGUUAGGGCGCCUUCUCCAGAAUCUUAUAAUUGCAUUUUACCUCCACCGCCUUUUCCAUUGCCAGCUUUCGCGGUGGGUCAUGGUCCUUGUCCAUGGCCAUUGGUACAGAUUCCAGGGUCACAUUGGUACUCAACAGAGACAGCAUGUUAUGGUUACGGUCUGCGUGGGUAGCGUUGAGGGAGGGUAACUAGAGGGGUUGCCGUUAUCUUAGUUAACGUCACUAGUUUAUUGGCAAUUUCUAUGUAUUCCGUAUGAUGUCAGCUUUUUAGCAAUGGUAAUCAGAUUAAUCUACGAUACAAACGAAUUCUUCUAAAAUAAAGGUUACGGGUCUU
rnacentral:misc_RNA from 1 species